rnacentral:rRNA from 1 species
CGUUUGAGAUUUGAGAGGGGCUGCUCCUAGUACGAGAGGACCGGAGUGGACGAACCUCUGGUGUUCCGGUUGUCACGCCAGUGGCAUUGCCGGGUAGCUAUGUUCGGAAUAGAUAACCGCUGAAAGCAUCUAAGCGGGAAACUAGCCUCAAGAUGAGAUCUCACUGGGACCUUGAGUCCCCUGAAGGGCCGUCGAAGACUACGACGUUGAUAGGUUGGGUGUGUAAGCGCUGUGAGGCGUUGAGCUAACCAAUACUAAUUGCCCGUGAGGCUUGACCAUAUAACACCCAAGCAAUU